rnacentral:lncRNA from 1 species
AUGGUGCCAUGCAACACCGUGCAGUGGGGGUCGCUGUCCCACACCUCACUGACACCCAGCUCCUGGCUGUCCUUCACUGAUGAGCAGCUCUCAGAAAUCAUCUGUGCUGUAAGAGUUUAUAAUCUGAGAAGUGGAAUGGAAUACAGAAAAUUGCAUCCAGAGCACCACGGUCCAAGCAAACCAUCUCUGUGCCUCUGCUUAAUCUUAAUAAUUGAAGAAGAGAGCACUGGCACAUUUCCCAAGCUACAGCCCCAUCAGCUGCCACACAGAAGUGUGAGACAUGCCAAAGGGUUCCCCCCAGCCUUUCGUCUCUCUGGAGCUCACCAAGUAGUGAUGCAGUGCCCAGUCCUUUCCACACUGAAAGACACCAGAUGUGAAGGUGCAGAGAGAAUGGGUGCCCAGGAGCCGUGCUGUCCAGGAGGCUCAGCCUCUUCAUGCAGCAUCUCAACAGAAGUUGCAGCAGAAGGCGUAUCGACCUUGCUACGGUUUCACGUCAUCUUUCUUGUUCUGUCAUGAAUUCAGCACAGCAAAAUGAGCUAAGCUGGUGCAAAAGGGCAGGGAUACAUCCAUCACAGGCUCCACCUGGUUGAUUCCCAGGGGUUAGGUCAGAACCAAGCCGCCCUUGACUGGCUGAUUUCCUAAUUCCCUACUCCAUGGCAGAUCUGGGUCAGCAGAGAGAAAAUGAAAAUAGCAGAUGUAAUACACUUAACAUGAGACUCCCACCACAGCUGAACAGUUAAUUCUGAAAGCAUAAAGCCCACUUAUAGGAUUGUAAAUUGUCAAGAUUGUAAAUAGUCAAUGUAAAGUCCAAACUUUAAACAUGCGACUCCUAACAGAAUUGAACUGUUAAAAGACAGAAUCCUUCAUUCAGAGAGGAGUUUACUGCGGUGCUGUAUGCUCAGCAACAGAGCUAAAUGUUAACAGCACAGGGAAAUCAGGUGCAGGUCUGACACUUC